GUUUAUAAAAGGAGAGAAUCCAACAAAGAUCACAACGAAUUAUGACCAUAACCUCACCUUUUCCAAUGAACUCGCCUACCAACAUAAAACCACCGACUAACCAGGGAUUUUUGCUACUGACCAUCGUCGCAAUACUUGAUAUUGCAUCCGCGGAAUUGAGCUUCGUUGACCUGAAUUAAAAUCGAUGUUUGUUGAAGCAGAGGAAUAGAAAUGUAGAGUUGAAGGCUUGAAGUUGAGUUCAAGGUGUUGGAGAGCUAAACCGGAAGCCAUUGAAGUGGUCGAGUUUUGCUUCCUCUGUACGCGCCAUUAUCGUCGGUGAUGGUUACUUGGCUCGAGUUGGCCGGUGACGGAAGGCAGGUUUAAUAAGGGCUUUAGGUGUUGGUGGUUGGUUAAUCCAAUGCUAAUUUAAUUACAAAUCUGGCAACAAGGGAUCAUUUUUUAUUUCCUGUUCAUACUUGCAGCAGUUCCUACAGUUCUGAAAUGAUAGUCUAGUGAGAAAUGCUUAGAUCUAGAAUAUGUAAAGUUUAUUCUUCAAGUUGAUAUGCUAUGACAAGCCAGUAUCUUUUAUCUAGAAGAACUUGUAGAACCAAGUAUCUUUUACAAUUAACUCAAAACUAUGUCUUUACCACAUAA